CUCCGGGUGGAGGAAUGAGCAGAUAGCCCCAGCACCAAUGCAUCCAGCAAAUAUCAAAGCAGAGAGAGAUGGGAGCAAAAAUGAAGGCAGGGAGAGGUGAAGUGAUGGACCCAAGGUCAAAGCAGAGCAGUUUGCCAGAGCUGGAAACACACCUCUCCUGAGUCCACCCCUGGAGCUCUGCUGAUACCCCCAGCAACGCUGCCAUUAACUCUUGUGAAGAGACAGGAAGAGGUGCAGGACGUCAGAGAGAGGAGACUGAAUGCAAGAGGCAGGAACAACCAAUUCCAGAGAUGGAACAGAACAAAAAUUGGUCAGGGGCUCAGAAAGAAUUGUAUUGUCUUCUGGCUGGCAGUCUGACGGCCACAGAUUUCUCUAUAGCUCUGUGUCUAAUAAAUAGGUGGAAUGGCCUUUGAACAGGCUGGAUGCCUCUCCUAAGCUCUUCAUUAAAAGCUUUAAAUUUCAAGACACCACUCUUCUCUAGUUUCCAAGGGGUCAGGAAACCUAUUUUCAGUGACUGCUACCCAUGGGAUAAAUAAUGCCAGGUCCUGGCAAAAACAGAAAGGACGAAGAGAAAGAAACAGCUGCUCAGUCUGAUGCUCAGAGGCUACAACAGGAUGGACUUUAAAAUGAAUGUAACCUGCCAUGUGCUAAAAUGUCCAAAUAGGCUUUGGGUUCAGUUCCAGACCUUCAAAAGGAAUGUUUUCAAUCAUGUCGUCACAGGGGUUUGAAACUUCCUAUUAGCCUACUCCCAAAGUGAUUUUUCUGUUCUCACCUUCUGGAGAGGCUUGUCCCUUGUUGAACAUCCUCUCUUCUGGAACUAUCCCCACCAUCUGGACAGUUUGUCACAGCUAUUUUCAUUUGGUUUUCAUGUCAUUUCUCACUGUACUACAUUGCAAAUGGAUUAAACUAA